GGGGCCAUAGCUCAGUUGGGAGAGCGCUUGAAUGGCAUUCAAGAGGUCGUCGGUUCGAUUCCGAUUGGCUCCA
rfam:Roseomonas sp. M3 M3_S294_L001_R1_001_(paired)_contig_77, whole genome shotgun sequence.